GACGUCACAUAGCAUUGGGAGGCCGGCGCCCCCUCUCCCGGCAACUUCGAUGCGUCCCGAGCUGAAGUUUCACGGCGCCCGGGCCACGACACCCGUAGUGUAGGUACUGAACAUCCUUGAUUAGAAGCACGAUGUUCUUUCUCCUGUGGCAGGAAUGGGUGCUCUCACAUCAUUUGGGUGUCAGGUUCAACCAUUGGCCACUCCGUCUUGUUCCAACUUGCGUUCUUCUUGACGCUUUUUCUUUCUCCGCGGCAUUCUUUUCAUAUUUCGCUUUCAGUUCGCGAUACAUUCAGUAAAUGUGUACAGUAUCCGUCGCGGAAAGUCAAGUGCCGAAGCCACCGAUUGCUUGCAACGUAAAGUGGAGCGGGACCGACGAAAGAAAAGCGAAAUAUUGGAAGAGGAUGAAAUCAAAGAUGAGCAAAGGAAGAGACAUCGGAUUUGAAAUCUGACUCAGCAUCUGAAUGCAAAUGAGAUUCCCGUUCUGUUACCUGUAGGAGGAGGAAAAUAAAUAAAACAAGAUUAAACAGUG